GACGGGACCGCACAAGCGGUGGAUGAUGUGGUUUAAUUCGAUGCAACGCGAAAACCUUACCCACCUUGACAUGGCAGGAAUCCUAAGAGAUUGGGAGUGCUCGAAAGAGAACCUGCACACAGGUGCUGCAUGGCUGUCGUCAGCUCGUGUCGUGAGAUGUUGGGUUAAGUCCCGCAACGAGCGCAACCCUUGCCAUUAGUUGCUACGAAAGGGCACUCUAAUGGGACUGCCGGUGACAAACCGGAGGAAGGUGGGGAUGACGUCAAGUCCUCAUGGCCCUUAUAGGUGGGGCUACACACGUCAUACAAUGGCCGGUACAGAGGGUAGCCAACCCGCGAGGGGGAGCCAAUCCCACAAAGCCGGUCGUAGUCCGGAUCGCAGUCUGCAACUCGACUGCGUGAAGUCGGAAUCGCUAGUAAUCGCGGAUCAGCAUGUCGCGGUGAAUACGUUCCCGGGUCUU
rnacentral:rRNA from 1 species